GCUCAAAUUUAAAAUCUGGUGGUCCUUGCGGCUGCCCGAGUUGUAAUCUAGAGAAGCGUUAUCCGCGCUGGACCGUGUACAAGUCUCCUGGAACGGAGCGUCAUAGAGGGUGAGAAUCCCGUCUUUGACACGGACUACCAGGGCUUUGUGAUGCGCUCUCAAAGAGUCGAGUUGUUUGGGAAUGCAGCUCUAAAUGGGUGGUAAAUUCCAUCUAAAGCUAAAUAUUGGCGAGAGACCGAUAGCGAACAAGUACCGUGAGGGAAAGAUGAAAAGAACUUUGGAAAGAGAGUUAAACAGUACGUGAAAUUGUUGAAAGGGAAACGCUUGAAGUCAGUCGCGUUGGCCAGGGAUCAACCUUGCUUUUGCUUGGCGUACUUUCUGGUCGACGGGUCAGCAUCAUUUUUGACCGGUGGAUAAAGGUCAGGGGAAUGUGGCAUCUUCGGAUGUGUUAUAGCCCUUGGUCGCAUACAUCGGUUGGGAUUGAGGAACUCAGCACGCCGCAAGGCCGGGUUUUUAACCACGUACGUGCUUAGGAUGCUGGCAUAAUGGCUUUAAUCGACCCGUCUUGAAACACGGACCAAGGAGUCUAACAUGCCCGCGAGUGUUUGGGUGGAAAACCCGGACGCGUAAUGAAAGUGAAAGUUGAGAUCCCUGUCGUGGGGAGCAUCGACGCCCGGAUCAGACCUUCUGUGACGAUCCCGCGGUAGAGCGUGUAUGUUGGGACCCGAAAGAUGGUGAACUAUGCCUGAAUAGGGUGAAGCCAGAGGAAACUCUGGUGGAGGCUCGUAGCGAUUCUGACGUGCAAAUCGAUCGUCGAAU
rnacentral:rRNA from 1 species